CAGGGAGCUUUUAAAAAUGGCGGCCGCUGCGUUACCUGCGGUGCCCGAGAAAUUAAAGUCAGUGCUUCCUUACGUAAAAAUAGCAACCGAGCAUGACUCCAGGGACCCAAUCAUCGCCUACUGGUGCCGACUCUAUGCGCUGCAGACUGGUAUGAAGGUUGACAGAUCUUCCUCUGAAAGCAGGGGAUUCCUCAUGGCCUACAUGGAUUGGUUGGAGAAGGAAAAAGCCAAGAGGAAAGACGAAGAAGCCAUCACAAGCGACGUUGUUGCCCAGGCACACAUUGAGACUAGAGCGCUGAAACUAUUUCUUUGGGCAGAUGGUGAGGACAGGGCAGCACGCUUUAACAAGAAUGUCAUCAAGGCGUUCUACACAGCUGCAUACCUUUUUGAUGUGCUCACAACUUUUGGAGAACUAACAGAUGAGGUUUCCAACCAUCGGAAGUAUGCAAGAUGGAAGGCAGCAUACAUUCACCGAUGCCUCAAGAACGGUGAAGUACCAGUUCCAGGACCUCUGAAGGGCGAAGAUGAAGGAUUUGAAGAAGAUGCUGGUGCUGUCGGUGGCAACCCAAGCCCUUCAAAUGGACCAACUGGAGCAGUGGGAGGCAGCGACGGCUUUCCACCACUACCUCCAGGGUUUGCAGUCGGAGGUGCCACUGCUUCUGGAUUCUCGGAGCCCGGUCCCAGCAGUGCCCGGUCAUCUUAUGGUGACCAUCAGCCUAUGCCGUCGUCUCUUCCUGUUCCCACCCCAGGGUCUCAGGCCCCCCCUUCUACACCCAGCGGUUCCACGCAGCCUUCACCAUCAGUAGCCCCGAUUGAUGAUAUUCGGGCUGCAAAUGGGGUGGCUUUGAACUCUGAAGACUUUCUCAAAGCUCAGAAGUACUGCAAGUUUGCCGGCAGCGCGCUGCAGUACGAAGACGUUCCGACAGCGAUUGAAAACCUGCAGAAGGCGCUCAGGUUGCUUACCACAGGCUCAGAGGGACCCUGAUGGCUCUUUCUUCGGGACCUGAUGACACAACCUUGUGACGCUCCCUUCCCACCUGAACACCUAGCAUAGGAUGGUCCCCGCCCUCCUCUUCAAACAACUGUCCCUCAGCGUCCUGCUAUGUCUGGUGCAAAGUCAUUUUGUGUCUGUGUUUGUAGCCACCUUAGAGCUUGCUUCUACUACAAGAGCUUGGCGCUCCCACGUCGUUAGACGGGGUGCAUCUCUCCUGUUUUUUUUUUUUUAGUUUUUUUUUUCUUUUGCUUUCUCUUCAGUGGGCGGACAGAAGUUGUAAGGCAUUCCUGCAUGCAGCCAGCGCACAGCUAGUUCUUGUCAAAGAUGAUGUGGAGAUUGGAGAGCAAUCAUCUGGCCAGCGACUGUUGCUUCAUAUUAGCUAUAGGCAGGUAAACUCAAGCACUUGUGAUAGCAUGUAUGUGUUAUCGGAGGUUUACAUAGACAGCACCUUUAUUUGGCAGGCUGCUCUACUUUAUCAAAAUUGUUGUGCGUGCAAAUGAAUUUCGUUGGUUUGCUUCGACCGGUUUGUGGUUUAUUGUUCAGCUGGUAUUGGUCAUGUGUUCAUUGCUCACAUGUUUGGCCAGCUUGAACAUGAUUGCUAUGGCUAUGUUGCACUUGUUGAUCUCGCUUGACACAAAGUUUUGAUGCGCCACCUUUUUAUACUAGAUGAAGAGCUUAUAGUGAACACACUAAAAUUAGGCUUGAGUGAGUACAGAAGAGGCUGAAACAUGGAUGAUAAUUAUUGCCUGCAAUGUUACUUUGAAAUGAUUGGCUUUGGCUUUCAAUUGGCAUUUUGAUUUCAGUUGUCUACUGGUGUUUCUGUAAUCUUGCUAAAGAGAGUAAGGUGUUUGAGGAGAUGUCUUAGGCUUUAUAAGUUAGAUUAGUGAACAAUUGCAGCAUCUUUAAUACUGUUAGUAUCUAGCAGCAACAGAAAAAGGUGACUCCGAUUAGCCACUAGAUUCUUUAUUUUUUAUGUUUAGUGAAUACAAGCGGCCUGCUGGCAUGCUUUCAUUGGCUAUAUAAUUCAUGUAACGCAGCUUUCAAAAAUUCAAGCAGUUCAAAGUGUGUAGCAGUUAAGUAACUCUCGUCACUUUUCUGCUUUUUGCUACUACUAUUUUAAUACUGGAGACAUUUUCUGAUGCUAAGGAAAAUUAGUUGUAGUAGCAAAGCUAUAUGUGAUGCACGUCUUUGAUGAAGGAGAAACUGUAGUGGCACUUGUGAAGGGGGGAAAAAGAAAAGAGUGUUGUCUGCCGAUCCGGACAUAUCGAGGUAAUUUAUUUUCUUAAUUUUCUGUGCUUGCCUGUGCCUACAUUUUCGCACUGAAUGGUUGAAAAACAGUUUUAUUUGGAUGCUUUAUUCUUGCAAGGUAUACAUUGACUUAGAAUGAACAAGUGAGUUGUGCCGGAGAAACAGUGUUUGUUGUUUAAAAAAAAUGUAUCUUUGGGAAUUUUUCUUCCUUUCUGAAUAAACUGUGUAAGCACAGGU